rnacentral:rRNA from 1 species
CAAGUCGAGGGGCAGCACGGGUAGCAAUACCUGGUGGCGACCGGCAAACGGGUGCGGAACACGUACGCAACUUUCCUUCAAGUGAGGAAUAGCCCAGGGAAACUUGGAUUAAUACCUCGUAAUAUUAUGAAGUGGCAUCACUUUAUAAUUAUAGCUCCGGCGCUUGAAGAUGGGCGUGCGCCUGAUUAGGUAGUUGGCGGGGUAACGGCCCACCAAGCCUACGAUCAGUAACUGGUGUGAGAGCACGACCAGUCACACGGGCACUGAGACACGGGCCCGACUCCUACGGGAGGCAGCAGUAAGGAAUAUUGGGCAAUGGACGCAAGUCUGACCCAGCCAUGCCGCGUGGAGGAUGAAGGUCCUCUGGAUUGUAAACUUCUUUUAUCUGGGAAGAAAUCCAUAUUUUCUAAUGUGGUUGACGGUACCAGAUGAAUAAGCACCGGCUAACUCCGUGCCAGCAGCCGCGGUAAUACGGAGGGUGCAAGCGUUAUCCGGAUUCACUGGGUUUAAAGGGUGCGUAGGUGGGCAGGUAAGUCAGUGGUGAAAUCUCCGGGCUUAACUCGGAAACUGCCGUUGAUACUAUCUGUCUUGAAUAUCGUGGAGGUUAGCGGAAUAUGUCAUGUAGCGGUGAAAUGCUUAGAUAUGACAUAGAACACACAUUGCGAAGGCAGCUAACUACACGAUCAUUGACACUGAGGCACGAAAGCGUGGGGAGCAAACAGGAUUAGAUACCCUGGUAGUCCACGCCCUAAACGAUGGAUACUCGACAUCAGCGAUACACUGUUGGUGUCUGAGCGAAAGCAUUAAGUAUCCCACCUGGGAAGUACGACCGCA